rnacentral:rRNA from 1 species
GAACGCUGGCGGCAGGCCUAACACAUGCAAGUCGAACGGUAACAGGAAUCAGCUUGCUGAUUCGCUGACGAGUGGCGGACGGGUGAGUAAUGUCUGGGAGACUGCCUGAUGGAGGGGGAUAACUACUGGAAACGGUAGCUAAUACCGCAUAACGUCGCAAGACCAAAGAGGGGGACCUUCGGGCCUCUUGCCAUCGGAUGUGCCCAGAUGGGAUUAGCUAGUAGGUGGGGUAAAGGCUCACCUAGGCGACGAUCCCUAGCUGGUCUGAGAGGAUGACCAGCCACACUGGAACUGAGACACGGUCCAGACUCCUACGGGAGGCAGCAGUGGGGAAUAUUGCACAAUGGGCGCAAGCCUGAUGCAGCCAUGCCGCGUGUAUGAAGAAGGCCUUCGGGUUGUAAAGUACUUUCAGCGGGGAGGAAGGGAGUAAAGUUAAUACCUUUGCUCAUUGACGUUACCCGCAGAAGAAGCACCGGCUAACUCCGUGCCAGCAGCCGCGGUAAUACGGAGGGUGCAAGCGUUAAUCGGAAUUACUGGGCGUAAAGCGCACGCAGGCGGUUUGUUAAGUCAGAUGUGAAAUCCCCGGGCUCAACCUGGGAACUGCAUCUGAUACUGGCAAGCUUGAGUCUCGUAGAGGGGGGUAGAAUUCCAGGUGUAGCGGUGAAAUGCGUAGAGAUCUGGAGGAAUACCGGUGGCGAAGGCGGCCCCCUGGACGAAGACUGACGCUCAGGUGCGAAAGCGUGGGGAGCAAACAGGAUUAGAUACCCUGGUAGUCCACGCCGUAAACGAUGUCGACUUGGAGGUUGUGCCCUUGAGGCGUGGCUUCCGGAGCUAACGCGUUAAGUCGACCGCCUGGGGAGUACGGCCGCAAGGUUAAAACUCAAAUGAAUUGACGGGGGCCCGCACAAGCGGUGGGGCAUGUGGUUUAAUUCGAUGCAACGCGAAGAACCUUACCUGGUCUUGACAUCCACGGAAGUUUUCAGAGAUGAGAAUGUGCCUUCGGGAACCGUGAGACAGGUGCUGCAUGGCUGUCGUCAGCUCGUGUUGUGAAAUGUUGGGUUAAGUCCCGCAACGAGCGCAACCCUUAUCCUUUGUUGCCAGCGGUCCGGCCGGGAACUCAAAGGAGACUGCCAGUGAUAAACUGGAGGAAGGUGGGGAUGACGUCAAGUCAUCAUGGCCCUUACGACCAGGGCUACACACGUGCUACAAUGGCGCAUACAAAGAGAAGCGACCUCGCGAGAGCAAGCGGACCUCAUAAAGUGCGUCGUAGUCCGGAUUGGAGUCUGCAACUCGACUCCAUGAAGUCGGAAUCGCUAGUAAUCGUGGAUCAGAAUGCCACGGUGAAUACGUUCCCGGGCCUUGUACACACCGCCCGUCACACCAUGGGAGUGGGUUGCAAAAGAAGUAGGUAGCUUAACCUUCGGGAGGGCGCUUACCACUUUGUGAUUCAUGAA